rnacentral:rRNA from 1 species
CCUACGGGUGGCAGCAGUGAGGAAUAUUGGUCAAUGGACGAGAGUCUGAACCAGCCAAGUAGCGUGAAGGAUGACUGCCCUAUGGGUUGUAAACUUCUUUUAUAUGGGAAUAAAAUGGUCCACGUGUGGGAUUUUGUAUGUACCAUAUGAAUAAGGAUCGGCUAACUCCGUGCCAGCAGCCGCGGUAAUACGGAGGAUCCGAGCGUUAUCCGGAUUUAUUGGGGUUAAAGGGAGCGUAGGUGGGUUGUUAAGUCAGUUGGGAAAGUUUGGGGCUCAACCGUAAAAUUGCAGUUGAAACUGGCAGUCUUGAGUACAGGAGAGGUGGGCGGAAUGCGUGGUGUAGCGGUGAAAUGCUUAGAUAUCACGAAGAACUCCGAUUGUGAAGGCAGCUCACUGGACUGCAACUGACACUGAGGCUCGAAAGUGUGGGUAUCAAACAGGAUUAGAUACCCUAGUAGUC